CUGAUUAUUCCACCUCUGAUCAAUGAUUUUCCAAACAGGUUCAUAACUACGUACCAAUUAUGUUAUGUUAGAACUUAGAAAUAAUUACACAAUAAAUAAGUAUUAAAAUUUAAAAUGGAAGAAACCUAGAAAUGUUACCUUUUCUUGAUAUUAUUAAAGUUGCUUUUAAUCUUCUCUUUGGCGCAAUCCAUCCCCUCAUAUAUAAAUCCCAUUGCGGGUUUUACAUCCGAAUCUACCAAUCGAAGGACCACCAUAAGAGGGGCAACAACUUUUAAGCAUAUACUUACAUUCUUCCA
rnacentral:lncRNA from 1 species